rnacentral:rRNA from 1 species
UACGUAGGGUGCGAGCGUUGUCCGGAAUUAUUGGGCGUAAAGGGCUCGUAGGCGGUUUGUCGCGUCGGGAGUGAAAUCCACUGGCUUAACUGGUGGCUUGCUUUCGAUACGGGCAGACUGGAGGUAUGCAGGGGAGAACGGAAUUCCUGGUGUAGCGGUGAAAUGCGUAGAUAUCGUGAGGAACACCAGAGGCGAAGGCGGCUACCUGGACAAUUGCUGACGCUCAGGCACGAAAGCGUGGGGAGCGAACAGG